rnacentral:rRNA from 1 species
UGAGUAACCUGCCCUUAACUCUGGGGUAAGCCUGGGAAACUGGGUCUAAUACCGGAUAUGACUCCUCAUCGCAUGGUGGGGGUGGAAAGCUUUAUUGUGGUUUUGGAUGGACUCGCGGCCUAUCAGCUUGUUGGUGAGGUAAUAGCUCACCAAGGCGAUGACGGGUAGCCGGCCUGAGAGGGUGACCGGCCACACUGGGACUGAGACACGGCCCAGACUCCUAG